UACGUAGGGUGCAAGCGUUAAUCGGGAUUACUGGGCGUAAAGCGUGCGCAGGCGGUUUUGUAAGUCUGUCGUGAAAGCCCCGGGCUUAACCUGGGAAUUGCGAUGGAGACUGCAAGGCUUGAAUCUGGCAGAGGGGGGUAGAAUUCCACGUGUAGCAGUGAAAUGCGUAGAGAUGUGGAGGAACACCGAUGGCGAAGGCAGCCCCCUGGGUCAAGAUUGACGCUCAUGCACGAAAGCGUGGGGAGCGAACAGG
rnacentral:rRNA from 1 species